GCGGUAGAGAUGCUUUCGGGUGUCUUGAGAGCGGCGCACGGGUGCGUAACACGUAUGCAACCUACCUUAUACAGGGGGAUAGCCCGGAGAAAUCCGGAUUAAUACCCCAUGGCAUCAUUUAACUGCAUGGUUUGAUGAUUAAAGAUUUAUCGGUAUAAGAUGGGCAUGCGUCUGAUUAGCNUNGNUGGNGGGGUAAUGGCCCACCAAGGCGACGAUCAGUAGGGGUUCUGAGAGGAAGGUCCCCCACACUGGCACUGAGAUACGGGCCAGACUCCUACGGGAGGCAGCAGUAGGGAAUAUUGGGCAAUGGACGAGAGUCUGACCCAGCCAUGCCGCGUGCAGGAAGACGGCCUAUUGGGUUGUAAACUGCUUUUAUACGGGAAGAAAAGGCCCAUGCGUGGGACAUUGCCGGUACCGUAUGAAUAAGCACCGGCUAACUCCGUGCCAGCAGCCGCGGUAAUACGGAGGGUGCAAGCGUUGUCCGGAUUUAUUGGGUUUAAAGGGUGCGUAGGCGGCUGAUUAAGUCAGCGGUGAAAGACUCCGGCUCAACCGGAGCAGUGCCGUUGAUACUGGUUGGCUUGAGUGCUGCAGGGGUACAUGGAAUUGAUGGUGUAGCGGUGAAAUGCAUAGAUACCAUCAGGAACACCGAUAGCGAAGGCAUUGUACUGGGCAGCAACUGACGCUGAUGCACGAAAGCGUGGGGAGCGAACAGGAUUAGAUACCCUGGUAGUCCACGCCGUAAACGAUGAUUAC
rnacentral:rRNA from 1 species